rnacentral:rRNA from 1 species
UACGAAGGGGGGCUAGCGUUGCUCGGAAUUACUGGGCGUAAAGCGCACGUAGGCGGCUUUCUAAGUCGGGGGUGAAAUCCUGGAGCUCAACUCCAGAACUGCCUUCGAUACUGGAGAGCUUGAGUCCGGGAGAGGUGAGUGGAAUUCCCGGUGUAGCGGUGAAAUGCGCAGAUAUCGGGAAGAACACCCGUGGCGAAGGCGGCUCUCUGGGACGGUACUGACGCUGAGGCACGAAAGCGUGGGGAGCAAACAGG